UUUUCCAGAAAAGUGCUAUUUUUUCUGAAAUAGCACUAUUUGUGCAAUUUUUUCAGUGGGCCCUUUUGUAAUACAGUGAGGCUAUCCAGAUGCAGAGAUGACUAAGGUAGUGAACAGCUUCUCUGAACAAUCGGAGGGGUCACCUCAUCAUCUCUAAGCAGUUGCCCACGGUCAGGCUGUUGCUUGGAUUAACUACAAAAGAAAGGCUCUUCUCACUGAGUGGUAUUUACGUAUUUGAUGAGAGCUUUUCCACCUCAUGACGCUAACACUCAUUCAAAACCAGAGUUCAGUGCUGCUGUAAAAGCUCGCUGCCUGCUCACACGUGGCGUGCGGGCCAAGGGGGCAAGGACACCAGUUGCUCUUUUUUCACCACCUUUAACGAGUUCCUAUCUGAUGGUUUAGAAGUAGACAGCAAGGCAAGGAAAAUGAUUACUGCUUUCAGAAAGGUCCGGCACUUCCUGUAACGAGAUCCAGUCUCUGGUGUGGGGAGGCAGGCAGGGAGGAAGGAGGAGACCUCUGACCCAGGAGUCAGGAGUCCCAGGUGAGCCACACCCUUGCUAGGUCUCAGCUUCUCCAUCUAUAAGGUGAAGAGUUUAACAACACGAUUCCCAAAGCUCCCUGGCUGUAGGAGCACUGACGAGCAGUUUGCCGGGGGAGGGGGGGGGGGAUCUACGUUUUGCAGAUGGCCGUGACAUGGGCGAGCAGGCUGCGGGCUUGGGGAGGCAGAGUUAUUUGACUUGUAACAUGUAAUAACAGCCUGUGAGAUCUGGCACUCCUGUGUCGCUGAGAAUGAAGAUCUAAAUGAUUGAAGUUUUAAGUCCAGGUAGGAGUUAGUUUGUUUUGCCUUGUUUAAAAACUGCUGUUAGUCACAGAGUUUUCGAUCUCUGGAUACCUUCAAAUCCCACCUCUCAGUGUGGGAUUCUUGAUCUCAAAGGUAUUUAUUUUUUCAUUCAGCAUAGGCCUGCAACACCUACUACUCCUCCUUCAAUCAGCUUUGCCCAAAACAGAUUUUGGAAUUAUUGGUAUUAACCUAAGUCCGGUGGAAUUAGAAAGAUAAUUCAGCAGCAAAAGAAAUAUAAAUUAUAUUCCAUACCCAGAGAGAAAAUGCCCUUUGGAUUGCAUAGUCCCUCUGUUUGAUGAGUGUUUUUUCUUCCUACCAAUAACCAGGUAAAUCAGGAUUUGACUCAAAUGCAGGCACAGGCAGGGCCUGGUCAUAGCUGCCCCACAGGGUGCUGUAUGGAUGAUAAGGGGCCCCAGAGGCCAACCUGAGGCCUGUGGAUCUGACCCCAAGGAGGUCCUGCUGCAAAUCCUAUGAGCUUAUGACAUUCUCUACUUACCAAAGGUUUAUUUCUAGAGAUUUCCCGGUGGCUUUGAUAGUUUUUUAAAAAGUUUAAUCAGAAAGUUUUCAUUUCAAAAGAAAGAGAAACAGCCCUUCCCCAUAGCCUGCUUCAUCACCUCCCCCCAAAAGAGACUCUGACCUGGAGACCCAGUGGUCCACAGACGAGUGUCAGGGGUGUGUGAACCCUCUAGACGCUGAUGCAGACUGAAUGUGCAUUUGCAGAUGUGCGUUUUUCUCAAGCGAGGCUCUAGACCAGCACUGUCCAGUGGAGAUAUAAUGCAAGUCACAUACUGAAUUUUCUACUAGCCACAUUUUUAAAAAAUAAAAAGAAACAGCACGUCCGGAUCGACAUGAGCCACAUCUCAUGCACUCAGUAGCCAUAUGUGGCUAGCGGCCCCCGAGUGGACAGUGCAGAUCUAGAGCUUCUCCAGUAACCUCACGAGAUUCCCUGACCCUUACAAAAGAAAAAGGUUGAAACCUUAAUUACCUCCAGAGAGCACCAGACACCACCCAAGUCGCCUAACGAAAGACCCAGAGAUCUGUUUAUUUUAUAGUGAAUAAAGUUUCAGGCAGCCCUUAUCAUUUACUCUUACUUCUCUGACCAGUUGUUUUUUAAAAAGUGACACAAACCUUGUCAAUUUGGUGCUGAAACAAAAUUAUAUCCCUCAUUUCUAUGACAAACCCUUAGGCUAAUAUAUGGCACUUAGGAGCCAGAGAGAAUUCCAGACUAAGUCAUCCAACUUUGCUUCAACUCUUUCUUGUCUGUGGCCAGCUAAAGGUCCUUUCCCAGUCCCAGUGUCUGCUGUCCCCACAGCUGUAGCUAAAACUUAAGGAUUUUGGAAGAAAGAGUGAGAAAUUACAUAUUGAUUCCAAAUACAAGACUUCAUGUGGCCUUACUGAGAAAAAAUCUUUGGGGCUUAUGGCUGUCCAGCCCCUAGGUGGUGAGUUCUGACCACCUCCAACAGCCAGCUUUCUACUCAAAGUGAGCAGCCACCGACCACCCCAAGGCUGUGGGGAAGAAAAGGAGCAUUUGCAUUCACUCAGAAUAAUUUAGGGUCCCCUUUAGGAAUUGCUACCUCCUGUGUGUCUAGUCCCUUUGGAAGAGCUGAACCCUGAUCAUGAAUCCAGCAUCUGAACGUUGACUUAUGCUCUAGGGUCGGGUCACCCCCUGGAAUGUAAACUCUGGUCAUCUAUGCAGGGAGAGGGAGAGAAGCAGGAGAAGGUAAAAAGUUGAAAGUGACAAAGGUACCUACCCAUUUUGACAUCACAGGGGAAUGAUCAUAACCAUGGAGGCAAAUCCCUGUCCAAAGAGGUUUUUUUUUUUUUAUUUGUUUUGCUUUGUUUUUAGCAUUUACCUUCAUCCUGGUGAGAUAUCCUGGACAUUCAUGGGCCUGGGUUUGGUCAUAUCAAAAAUCACGGUGCCCAGUGGCCAUUUCUGUCACUGCCCUGACAGCUCUGUGGCUACCAUACUUUCAGAACCAAAAAUGAUGACAGGUAGUCUAACCUGGGACUCUUUCUUAUUUAUGAGUUGUUUAAACGGAAAUUUUUACAGAACAUAAAAAUUCAGUGGUUAUCCAUUGAAUGCAUCAGCUUGACUGAAAACAAAUCUCAUUGAAUCAAAACUUUUUCAGAAAAUCUGGGAUAGGGAGUCACUCCCUCUAGGAGCAGGGGCCCAGCCCUCUGUGGUACUGGGACCACUGAGGCAAUUUCCAGGAGCAUUUUUAUGGAUUCUCUCACUUAGAUUCCUUUCUCUUUUAUGUCUGUGUCUCUCCAACUCUAUUUUCUUCUGCCUGUCUGUCUGUCUUUGUGUACACACACAAAUUCUUUUCCUAUUUUCUCCCUCGUCCUCUUCUCUUUUCUUCCUCUUUCUUUUUAUUCUAGUCUUGCAAGAAACUCUGAAAUAACCUUCAGGACAAAAAUCAUUGGUGGCUCUGUAUUUUUAGGGUUAUUAUUGUGAUUACUGUUGUUAGUGUCUUUCUUCUUUUUAUUGUGUGGCAAAAUCUAUGUUUUUACUUACGAUGAGGAAAACUAGUUUACUCUAAAGGCCAAUUAAGUUCCUCCCUAAUGGAGUCAGCCUCAGUUUCACUUCUUAUAUCACAAAUUGCAUCUCAAACCACCCACAGCUGUUGCCUUUUAUUUCAGGCUUCCUUGCCAUAAAAGUCUCCUAGGCAAAUAAUGGCAAGGUAACAAUUCCAGAAUGCUGGCGAGAUCUAUUUUCCUCCACGCCCAACAUUUAUAACCUUCCUCAUUCACCACAUGUCCCCAGGGUUAGGACUUCUUAGAAAAACUUGUAUUACUGUAUCUGAUGUCCACUCAUGCUUCUUAAUAUCUUCACACAAGAGCUUGCUCAUUGUACAUGACCCAAGGGCCACUAAUUCCUAAAGACUCACAAAGAGGUACAAAGAGACUACCCUACUAAGGUGGAGGAUACACAGUUCCUUGUGCCCUGCUCUGUGCCACCGAGGUCCCUCGGGGACGUUAUCCUGUAGGAAGUCAGAAAAGAGGAUGGCAGGAUCUCUGGUCAGAGCAGGGGUGGAAAGCUUCUGUGAUUAAUAGAACAUAAAUGCUUCCCCUAAAUAAAUGUUCAUCCUAGGUUUAGAGUUGACCUGGGUUUGGGGGUGUAUGUGUUUGUGCGGGUAUGUUUAAAGAAUUAAAUACUCAUGAGGUAAAACACUCAUGAUUACAAAGAAGGUUGGGAUUGCCUGAAAAAUAAAUUAAGAGAACCAGCUGUGAGUUUCUCAUCAUCACUUAGCUCUUCCCUUUCCCUGCUUUUCUCCCCAUCUCACAACCUCAGACCCUUUGUCAUAGGAACAUUAAUUUUUAAAGACCCAUAGAUCAAUAGCCACACUCUUCCACUUUGAGCCUUUUAAUGGCACUAAAUUAUUAUCCUAGAACUCAUGAAGUGAGUUCAGCUCCUAGAAGUGGACCUUUAAUACCAAGUCCUUUAAUUGCAAAACCUGCUUCUACAAGAACCUGCUGAGGUCAGUAACAUCUCUGUUUACAUGUCUCGAGUGCUUCAUAAUCAAGUGGCUUUUCCAGGAAUCUCAGAGAUCAAAGAUUUUCUAAUGCUGUGCUACUAUUGACAUUUGCACUUACUGCAGAGCCAUUUGCUCUGUGGCCACCUGAUAAAUAUUUGUUGAUGGUGAUGAUAAGGCAGGAACAUAUACAUCUCUUAAGAGAUCUGCGGGUCUGAACACAGUGAGGGAGAAAAUCCAUGGAGUGGGGUAGCUCAACCUGAAUUACCCAAAGUCCUUGCUUGGCAGAAUAUCUGUGGUCUGUUAUCCUUACUGAAGUGAUGGGCUUGGAGAAGCAGGGAAAAUGUGGGGACCAUGUGUGCUAUAUAAACCAAAGACCGAUCGAUCACCUUCCAAAUGGACACAUGUUUCUUCCAUUGACUAGUUGAAUCUUCUCCUAAUGUUCUCAUAAAUAAAAGUGAAGGUGGGUUGCAUGGUUGAAUGAAACCAUGAAACCUUAGGAGGUUUUCUCUUGCAGGCUGUUGAUUGACUUUACUAAAUCCAGAAAUCUAAAAAAAAAAAAAAAAAGUAUGGCCUUAGUACCACAUCAUCUUUAAAAUUUAGCGUUUAGUCCCCUUUUCCUUAAAAAGUUUCAGACAAAUCUAGCGCUUUAUUGAACUCAGAAUAUUGUUCUCUUCGAGAAUGUGAAGAUUUUAAAUAGCCAAAGAAUUUUCAUGUAUAAGAGCUAGCUAAUUAUAGUAUAUCCUGCUCUUCUGAAGACAAUACCAAACUGUUGCCUGUACUGAUAGUUAGUAGAGCAGUUGAAGAACUAGCACGUGGACUUUGUAGUCUGUUGGCAUCUGUGGUGCUGACUGUCCAGUAGGAUGCUAUUGCAAGGAGCAGAGUGCCCUCUGCUGGAAUAAUCACAGUUAUUCUUUCAGCAAAUUAAUUUGACUUGGGUCACCAUUUCCUCAACAACUAUACUUAGUUAUUUGCCUUUUGUCCUACAAAUUCUUCAGUAGUUGAGAAUUUGGUCUACAUUUAUCACAUGAGGAAAGAAUGUCACAAACUGAAAAAUUGAAGGAGACCCCACAGAAGAUCUUCUGUCAGCAGCCCUUCUGCAAAAUGUUCAAGCAUAAUGUCGCUCUGUUUGCAAAGAAGAUGCCUCUGGUUGGAAUGUUUGUGCAGAGUUCUAAGCAAGGGACUGCUUGUUUUGUAACUUGUUUCCACUUUAUUCUUGUGAAAUUGCAAAGGAAGAUCAAUAAAAGGACUUCUUUCAUAUGAAUGUAAA